rnacentral:rRNA from 1 species
GACGAACGCUGACGGCGUGCUUAACACAUGCAAGUCGAACGGAAAGGCCCUGCUUUUGUGGGGUGCUCGAGUGGCGAACGGGUGAGUAACACGUGAGUAACCUGCCCUUGACUUUGGGAUAACUUCAGGAAACUGGGGCUAAUACCGGAUAGGAGCUCCUGCUGCAUGGUGGGGGUUGGAAAGUUUCGGCGGUUGGGGAUGGACUCGCGGCUUAUCAGCUUGUUGGUGGAGUAGUGGCUUACCAAGGCUUUGACGGGUAGCCGGCCUGAGAGGGUGACCGGCCACAUUGGGACUGAGAUACGGCCCAGACUCCUACGGGAGGCAGCAGUGGGGAAUAUUGCACAAUGGGCGGAAGCCUGAUGCAGCAACGCCGCGUGCGGGAUGACGGCCUUCGGGUUGUAAACCGCUUUCGCCUGUGACGAAGCGUGAGUGACGGUAAUGGGUAAAGAAGCACCGGCUAACUACGUG